rnacentral:lncRNA from 1 species
CUAGCCAUUCACUUCUUUCACAUCAUGAGGAUCUGCAAAUUAACUAUAACGACUUUCUAAGUAGGAAAAAAUCCUACCUGCGAAAGAGGGAGAGCCACAGGUCUCGUUAUGAAGGGAGACCGAAAGGACUGCCAGAGAUGGACAAAAAACAAAGACUGCUGAAGAAAGCUGAGGAAAACUGAGAAAAAGACUGAGGAAGCAAAACAAAAAUCGAAGAAAAGGAAAAGAUAUACGAAACAAGGGAAGAACAGAAGAAGGGUGAAAAGGAUGAAGGAAAGAAGAUGGUGGGAGAGGGAGGUGACCAAGGAAUGGUGAGCCACAGCGGUGUAAUGGUUGGCUGCACUAAAAUCGAAAACCCAAGGUUAGAAACAAAGAGAUGAGGUAGAGGAUAAGCACUGAGAGAAAUUUGUUACACUUGAUUUGUUUUCUUAACAUCAACGAAUAUUCAUUUUUUUUUAUACAAUGCUUACUUCUAUCCAUAAUCAAUAUACGAUUCUUCUAUUGUUUCGUAUAAAUGUCUCGUAUUUUCUUUUUUAAAACAAG